CCCCAUUUCUUGGGUCCAUAACUUAACGCCAGCAAUCAAGCAAAUGAGAAGAGGAAAAUAGCCUCUCAUUUUAAUAAUUUCCAUUAUUUUAACAUCUCUCGUCGUGAUUUGCAAAUGCCCGAGAAGAAAAGGACAGGACCUGUGGCAUGGGCUAGCAAUUAGAAAACAGAUUCGCAAAGUGGCAUCGCUGGCAACAAGUUAAUAUCCCCAGCUUGAAAAUGAUCCUGGGUCAUUCAGUUGAGUAAUUCACCUCAUAAUCCAAAUACUUUUGUUGGUGCUAAGCGUCAGCAGUUCCCAUUGAUGGAGUUCCACAAAAAGACAUAGAUGCCAAACACCGGGGAGCAGCGGUGCCUGACCUGGAGGCAGAAGCACCACCUCAGUGAAACAGUGGGAAAUGAAGAGUUCUGGCAAAAGUAUUACCAGUCACUGCAGAACUCAAGCUAAUACUUUGAAGUAUAGAAGCAAUCCUGGAACCAGAUUUUCAAAAUAG